UGUCAAGGCAAAGACGUGAUAACUAACGAGAACAGGGUUUCUACCGGACCGGAAGUAUCAAUCAGUGGAAUUGGGUGUCAAAUGUAAACACCUGAACUAAAUAGUUUAGCUUUAUCCGUAUCACAAUUUUAUUUAAUGUUAACAAUAUAGUUCUCAAUUGAUGAAUGGUGAUGUGUAACCAGUGACAGAGUUAAUAGGCGUAACCUUUUGGAGGCAUACCGGUUGUGUUGUCAUUAUUCAAUCUUUGGCUGCCACAGUAGACAUCUACCGUUUCGAGUGCGUAGUAGGCAGCUUACAUAUUUAGGGGUAAGUGGAGUUCAACACAGCCUUGUUUGGAAAACACCUUUUUGGUCCUUCAGACCUUGACCAAGUAACAAACAUCGGUGUCAGCUAUGCUGCGGUUGUGAUUUUCCGCAAGGUUGUGAACCGAUGCUUCUUGUUGUGGAGCGGGUGAUGUUGAUGACUACAACACCAUAAUGCAGG
ensembl:lncRNA